UGCAGUCGGACGGUAGCACAAAGAGCUUGCUCUCGGGUGACGAGUGGCGGACGGGUGAGUAAUGUCUGGGGAUCUGCCCGAUAGAGGGGGAUAACCACUGGAAACGGUGGCUAAUACCGCAUAACGUCGCAAGACCAAAGAGGGGGACCUUCGGGCCUCUCACUAUCGGAUGAACCCAGAUGGGAUUAGCUAGUAGGCGGGGUAAUGGCCCACCUAGGCGACGAUCCCUAGCUGGUCUGAGAGGAUGACCAGCCACACUGGAACUGAGACACGGUCCAGACUCCUACGGGAGGCAGCAGUGGGGAAUAUUGCACAAUGGGCGCAAGCCUGAUGCAGCCAUGCCGCGUGUAUGAAGAAGGCCUUCGGGUUGUAAAGUACUUUCAGCGGGGAGGAAGGCGAUGCGGUUAAUAACCGCGUCGAUUGACGUUACCCGCAGAAGAAGCACCGGCUAACUCCGUGCCAGCAGCCGCGGUAAUACGGAGGGUGCAAGCGUUAAUCGGAAUUACUGGGCGUAAAGCGCACGCAGGCGGUCUGUUAAGUCAGAUGUGAAAUCCCCGGGCUUAACCUGGGAACUGCAUUUGAAACUGGCAGGCUUGAGUCUUGUAGAGGGGGGUAGAAUUCCAGGUGUAGCGGUGAAAUGCGUAGAGAUCUGGAGGAAUACCGGUGGCGAAGGCGGCCCCCUGGACAAAGACUGACGCUCAGGUGCG
rnacentral:rRNA from 1 species